GACGUAGGGCGCGAGCGUUGUCCGGAUUUAUUGGGCGUAAAGAGCUCGUAGACGGCUUGUCGCGUCGAAUGUGAAAACCCACGGCUCAACUGUGGGCUUGCAUUCGAUACGGGCAGGCUAGAGUUCGGUAGGGGAGACUGGAAUUCCUGGUGUAGCGGUGAAAUGCGCAGAUAUCAGGAGGAACACCGGUGGCGAAGGCGGGUCUCUGGGCAGUAACUGACGCUGAGGAGCGAAAGCGUGGGGAGCGAACAGG
rnacentral:rRNA from 1 species